rnacentral:rRNA from 1 species
UACGGAGGAUGCAAGCGUUAUCCGGAAUGAUUGGGCGUAAAGGGUCCGCAGGUGGCAAUGUGUGUCUGCUGUCAAAGAAUGAGGCUUAACCUCAUCAAGGCAGUGGAAACUACAUAGCUAGAGUACGGUCGGGGUAGAAGGAAUUCCUGGUGUAGCGGUGAAAUGCGUAGAGAUCAGGAAGAACACCCGUGGCUAAGGCGGCUCUCUAGUACGGUACUGACGCUGAGACGCGAAAGCGUGGGGAGCGAACAGG